GUGCUCACUUCCGUAGCACAUAAAUUAAAAUCGGAACAAUACAGAGAAGAUUAACAUGGCCCCUGCACAAGGAUGACAUGCUAAUUCACCAAGUGUUCCAAAUUUUU